UGCAGGUACAGUAUGCAAGUGGAAAAAGUCCUGCAGACCCUGGGAGAGAAUAAAAGCAUGAGGGAGGCUGUGGUGGAUUAGAGAGGAAAAAUGCACACUGAAGCAGGGGAUGCCCUGCUGACACUACCUGUUGAAUCCACUGCCGCCAUGUUUCUCCCCCUCCUUCUCGGUGUUUUGUCCAUCUCUCAAGAGUCAGCUGUCAGAUUGAUACGUCUCUGCUUGUCCUCUUGACUGCUUCAGGAUCAGAUGUGAUAAAAAGCAAAAUUAAAAACUUAAGCUUGCCUCUGAACUAAAGCAGGAAGAGCUAGAAAGAAAACAACAAAAAUGGGUGGAUGAACACCACUACCCAAAGGUCAUUCCUUAACUCACAGGGACCUACUCAAAAACUCUGUCAAGAAGGCGUGCUUUUGUUCGCUUGUUUGGUUUUGUUUAUCAUUUUCACUGUAAGCACUGUAAUAGAACAGCUGUGAGAGCUGCAGUUUUCAUCCUGUUUCCAUGUGCAGGGAUCUCCAUCCACUGUAUGAUCCACCCAGGCUGACUCUUCUAAGCAUGAAGCAGACAGAAUAACUGGGGCAGAGCUGGAAAGAGAGAAGAGGGACAGCAUGAUUCCUGCUGCCAUGUGUUCAGAACCAAAAUGGAGAGAGAUUCAGAAAGUCAGAGGAAGCAAACAAGGGUUAUCAUGACCCUACCCCUGGAUGGUAACUGGAAAUACACCAAAAUGGAAAGAUUCAGACCUGUGCAACCCCCUCCCUCCCCCUCCCCCAUUUUGCAUUUUCUUAAGUGUCAAAGGAUA
ensembl:lncRNA